CCUACGGGAGGCAGCAGUGGGGAAUCUUAGACAAUGGGGGCAACCCUGAUCUAGCCAUGCCGCGUGAGUGAUGAAGGCCUUAGGGUUGUAAAGCUCUUUCAGCUGGGAAGAUAAUGACGGUACCAGCAGAAGAAGCCCCGGCUAACUCCGUGCCAGCAGCCGCGGUAAUACGGAGGGGGCUAGCGUUGUUCGGAAUUACUGGGCGUAAAGCGCACGUAGGCGGACCAGAAAGUUGGGGGUGAAAUCCCGGGGCUAAACCUCGAAACGGCCUUCAAAACUACUGGUCUGGAGUUCGAGAGAGGUGAGUGGAAUUCCGAGUGUAGAGGUAAAAUUCGUAGAUAUCCGGAGGAACACCAGUGGCGAGGGCGGCUCACGG
rnacentral:rRNA from 1 species